GUCUACAGCCAUACCACCCUGAAAGUGCCCAAUCUUGUUUGAUCUCUGAAGCUAAACAAGGUUCGGCCUGGUUAGUACUUGGAUGAGAGACUGAUUUUCAGAAGAGACUCCUCAGAGACAAGAAGUUUGGAGAUA
rnacentral:rRNA from 1 species